rnacentral:rRNA from 1 species
AUGAACGCUGGCGGCGUGCCUAAUACAUGCAAGUCGAACGAGUUCUCGUUGAUGAUCGGUGCUUGCACCGAGAUUCAACAUGGAACGAGUGGCGGACGGGUGAGUAACACGUGGGUAACCUGCCCUUAAGUGGGGGAUAACAUUUGGAAACAGAUGCUAAUACCGCGUAGAUCCAAGAACCGCAUGGUUCUUGGCUGAAAGAUGGCGUAAGCUAUCGCUUUUGGAUGGACCCGCGGCGUAUUAGCUAGUUGGUGAGGUAAUGGCUCACCAAGGCGAUGAUACGUAGCCGAACUGAGAGGUUGAUCGGCCACAUUGGGACUGAGACACGGCCCAAACUCCUACGGGAGGCAGCAGUAGGGAAUCUUCCACAAUGGACGCAAGUCUGAUGGAGCAACGCCGCGUGAGUGAAGAAGGCUUUCGGGUCGUAAAACUCUGUUGUUGGAGAAGAAUGGUCGGCAGAGUAACUGUUGUCGGCGUGACGGUAUCCAACCAGAAAGCCACGGCUAACUACGUGCCAGCAGCCGCGGUAAUACGUAGGUGGCAAGCGUUAUCCGGAUUUAUUGGGCGUAAAGCGAGCGCAGGCGGUUUUUUAAGUCUGAUGUGAAAGCCCUCGGCUUAACCGAGGAAGCGCAUCGGAAACUGGGAAACUUGAGUGCAGAAGAGGACAGUGGAACUCCAUGUGUAGCGGUGAAAUGCGUAGAUAUAUGGAAGAACACCAGUGGCGAAGGCGGCUGUCUGGUCUGUAACUGACGCUGAGGCUCGAAAGCAUGGGUAGCGAACAGGAUUAGAUACCCUGGUAGUCCAUGCCGUAAACGAUGAAUGCUAGGUGUUGGAGGGUUUCCGCUCUUCAGUGCCGCAGCUAACGCAUUAAGCAUUCCGCCUGGGGAGUACGACCGCAAGGUUGAAACUCAAAGGAAUUGACGGGGGCCCGCACAAGCGGUGGAGCAUGUGGUUUAAUUCGAAGCAACGCGAAGAACCUUACCAGGUCUUGACAUCUUUUGAUCACCUGAGAGAUCAGGUUUCCCCUUCGGGGGCAAAAUGACAGGUGGUGCAUGGUUGUCGUCAGCUCGUGUCGUGAGAUGUUGGGUUAAGUCCCGCAACGAGCGCAACCCUUAUGACUAGUUGCCAGCAUUUAGUUGGGCACUCUAGUAAGACUGCCGGUGACAAACCGGAGGAAGGUGGGGAUGACGUCAAAUCAUCAUGCCCCUUAUGACCUGGGCUACACACGUGCUACAAUGGAUGGUACAACGAGUUGCGAGACCGCGAGGUCAAGCUAAUCUCUUAAAGCCAUUCUCAGUUCGGACUGUAGGCUGCAACUCGCCUACACGAAGUCGGAAUCGCUAGUAAUCGCGGAUCAGCACGCCGCGGUGAAUACGUUCCCGGGCCUUGUACACACCGCCCGUCACACCAUGAGAGUUUGUAACACCCGAAGCCGGUGGCGUAACCCUUUUAGGGAGCGAGCCGUCUAAGGUGGGACAAAUGAUUAGGGUG